GGAAUAUUGCACAAUGGGCGCAAGCCUGAUGCAGCCAUGCCGCGUGUGUGAAGAAGGCCCUAGGGUUGUAAAGCACUUUAAGCAGGGAAGAAGGCUAUACGGUUAAUACCCGUGUAGAUUGACAUUACCUGCAGAAUAACCACCGGCACACACCGUGCCAGCAGCCGCGGUAACACGGAGGGUGCAAGCGUUAAUCGGAAUUACUGGGCGUAAAGCGCGUGGAGGCGGUCUGUUAAGCGAGGUGUGAAAGCCCCGGGCUUAACCUGGGAAUUGCAUUUCGAACUGGCAGGCUAGAGUGUAGAAGAGGGGUGUGGAAUUUCCGGUGUAGCGGUGAAAUGCGUAGAGAUCGGAAGGAACAUCAGUGGCGAAGGCGACACCCUGGUCUAACACUGACGCUGAGGUGCGAAAGCGUGGGUAGCAAA
rnacentral:rRNA from 1 species